UUGGGGGAAAAAUUAGUAUAAAUUAAUUAAAUUAAUAAAAAUAAUUUUAAAUAAAUAUUUAAAUGGGGGGUUUAAGUAUAUUAUAUAGAAAAAAUUAUUUAAUUUAUAGAAAAUUAGUAUUGUGAGAGAAAUUUGAAAUAAUUGAAAAUUAAUUUUUAAAUAAGUAAAUUUAAUUUAUUGUAUCUUGUGUAUCAGAGUUUAUUAAAAAAAAAAUUUAAUUAAAAUUUUCUCGAAUUUAAAAGAGUAAAUUAAUUAUAAAAGUUAUUGUUGUAAAAAUAUUUUAAAUAAUUAAUUAGAAAUGAAAUGUUAAUCGUUUUUAAAUAUAUCUAGUUUUUUUAGAAAAAAAUUAAAUUUUUAAUUAAUUUAAUUAAAAAUUUAAUUAAAUAAAUUUUUAAAAAAUUAAUUUAAUAUUUUAAGGGAUAAGCUUUAAUUUAAAUUAUUAUAAAUAAUAAAUUUUAAAAAUGAAAAUUUUAAUAUUUAUAUUGUUUAUAAAUUAUAAUUUUUUAUAAAUAAUUUCAUUUAAAUUAAAAUUUAAUUUAAUAUUUUAAUAUUUUAUAAAAAAAUAAAAUUUAUUUAAUUAAUUUUAGAUAUAAUGAUAAAAUUAGUAUAUACAUAUAAUAAAUUAAUUUUUAAAAUUUAUUUUUAAAAUUAAUAAUAAGGAAUUCGGCAAAAAUUUAUAUUCACUUGUUUAUCAAAAACAUGUCUUUUUGAUUAAUAAUUUAAAGUCUAAUCUGCCCACUGAUUUUUUAAAGGGCUGCAGUAUUUUGACUGUACAAAGGUAGCAUAAUCAUUAGUCUCUUAAUUGGUGACUUGUAUGAAGGAUUGGAUGAAAUAUAGACUGUCUUAUUUUUAAAAUUAGAAUUUAAUUUUUUAGUCAAAAAGCUAAAAUAGUUUUAAAAGACGAGAAGACCCUAUAGAGUUUUAUAUAAUAAUAUAAUUGGAAAUUUUUUUAUAAAUUUUAAAUUUAAAUUAAUUAUUAUAUUUUAUUGGGGUGAUAAAAAAAUAAAAAAAACUUUUUUUUUAUUAAAUAUGAAAUAUUUAAUUUAACAUUAAUAAAUGAUUAUUUGAUCCAAAAUUUUUGAUUAUAAGAUUAAAUUACCUUAGGGAUAACAGCGUAAUUUUUUUUUUUAGUUCGUAUAAAAAAAAAAGUUUGCGACCUCGAUGUUGGAUUAAGGUAAAAUUUAAAUGCAAAAGUUUAAAAUUUUGAUCUGUUCGAUCAUUAAAAUCUUACAUGAUCUGAGUUCAAACCGGUGUAAGCCAGGUUGGUUUCUAUCUUUAAAUUUAAUAAAUAUUUUAGUACGAAAGGAUCAAAUAUUUAAAAUAAUUUUAAAAUUAUUGAAUAUUAUUAAUUGAUAAAUAAAUUAAAUAUUAUUUUAAUUAAAUUUAUAAAAUAUUUACUUAUAUUAUUAAU
rnacentral:rRNA from 1 species